AUUGAACGCUGGCGGCAUGCUUUACACAUGCAAGUCGAACGGCAGCGCGGGCUUCGGCCUGGCGGCGAGUGGCGAACGGGUGAGUAAUACAUCGGAACGUGCCCAGUAGUGGGGGAUAGCUCGGCGAAAGCCGGAUUAAUACCGCAUACGACCUGAGGGUGAAAGCGGGGGAUCUUCGGACCUCGCGCUAUUGGAGCGGCCGAUGGCAGAUUAGCUAGUUGGUGGGGUAAAGGCCUACCAAGGCGACGAUCUGUAGCUGGUCUGAGAGGACGACCAGCCACACUGGGACUGAGACACGGCCCAGACUCCUACGGGGGGCAGCAGUGGGGAAUUUUGGACAAUGGGCGAAAGCCUGAUCCAGCAAUGCCGCGUGUGUGAUGAAGGCCUUCGGGUUGUAAAGCACUUUUGGCGGGAACGAGAAGGACUGUGCCAAUACCACGGUUCGAUGACGGUACCCGCAGAAUAAGCACCGGCUAACUACGUG
rnacentral:rRNA from 1 species